CAGAAAUUCAGGAGUGGGCCCAGGAGUCCAUGCUUUCCCAGGCCCUCCAGGGGAACCCUGAUCCACGCUCGACUUUGAGAACCACCGGAAUGGAGCAAAGCGCGGUUGGUUAUUAAUUUUGGAAUGUUUUAGACCCGUUAACCUAAUCCGGGCUCAGAGCCCUAGACGGGGCUGAGAAGGUACAGGAAGAUUGAGCCUCAAUUCUGAUCACUCUGUCCUAUCGCAUGUCCCCGCGUUCAUCAAGAGGAGGGAAAGGCGGGCGAGGACGAGGCUCUGAAGGGGCGGGGACAGGAGAGGAAAAGGGCACGAAGCGUAUGCAGCCAUGUUUUGAAACCCCGACACGGGACGCACAGAAGAGAAACAGGAGCCGUGUCCCUCAUCCACCUGCUGCUCUGGUGGCAGCAGGAGAGACGGACAGGUGAGCAGACGGCAGAGAGGGGAUUUCCCAGGUUUACUGAUGCUGGACGUGGGGGCUGAGGGCGAGGGUCCCAGACGACCCCUGAGAGCAGCAGGGGUGGGCACGAACCCACAGGGCAGCCCACGCCCCCGGCACUGAUGUCUGGGGCAACACACGAGAGGAACAAGGUGAAGGAAGCUAAACAGUAGACAGCUUGAACAGAAGUCACGAGGGCGCACGCAGCCCCAGCUCCCUGGGGACAAGACACUCAGCCGUCCCAGUGGAGCCCGGCGCUCAUUCCCAAGGCUACAGACAGACCCCCAAGGGAGAACCAGGUCCCCUUCACAACCCAGGGAGGACGCCAAGAGCCCCCCCACCCCGAGUGUCACCAGCAUCCGACGCCGACUGGAGAGCCAGCAUGGCUGUCGGCCCCUGCGGAGACCACGAGGUGGUCCAGCCAUCAUCCGUCACCGUCUCCUGCGAUACCUGGAGCGCAGGCAGCCGGUGGGGGCCGUGCAUGAGUUUCACGUUCAUUCUGCAGCACGAGGAGGCCUGACAACGGCGCCAGGAGGGCUUUCGAAAAAAGAUGUGAGUGAGCGAAAUUUUCCAUUCCUUUCAUUGCCCCCAAACCCUGCAAACAGGCUCUGGCCCACAUUUGAACUCUCCAGAAUCAGGUGAUUAUUGUUUUUCUCUUUUGUUUUUCUUGGUUAUGUGCUGCUCGGUCUCUGGGCUGGGCUGUUUGGAGUUUUUGUGGAAGGAUUGCUAAGCACAUUUGUCGAGGCUGGUUUGUGAUGAUGAUGGCUGUGCUUGGGAGAGAAAGUUCCAUGCCAGGUGGUCCUCCUUAGCCCAAGCUGGGCGUGUGACUCGACUCCAACCACAGAGCAUGUUCAGCUGAGCCUCCGGCGGGCUGCCAUUUAUCCUCUGGGUCAAGUUGAACCUGCGCAACUUUCACUUUCUCAUCAUUCUCACGCCUUGAGCCCGGAGAGGGUAAAGGACUCGUCUGAGGUCACACAGCAAAACAAUCUACAUACCUUCCUUCAUUGUAGUCUUCUGUGCUAAGAAGAGAGGAAGCCUUCUGCUCCAAGGAAGACGUCAGGGACCCAAUGUUCCAGAUUGAAGCUGCGCCGUCACCUACCUGGUCCUGAGGUGAGGACGAAGUGGAGCCAAGCUGCUUGCCUCCCUGAGGGACGUGGAGUGAGAGCCAGAAGUAAUCCUUUGCUUAAGUGACUGAGAUUUUCAGAGCUGUUCAUUACGGCAGCAAAACCUAGAACAUCCUGACUGAUGCGAGCUACGUAAUACCCAUUUCCCCACAAUAUAAAUGAGGAAACUCAUGCUCAGAGAGGUUCGGCUAUUUUCCCAAGCUCACACAGCUGGCAAAGGAUAGACCUGGAACUUGAACUGAGAAAGCUGAUGGCAGAAUUUGAGCCAUUAACCACAGCCCCGGGACACAGUGGGGAAGGAGCCAGCCAACACUUAGUUCUAAUCCUGAUUGACAUUUCGGGUCUGAGCAAAGACCUACAACUAACUCAUUGCCCUGAGUCUCUUCCUGCUUCGCUAUUCCUAACGCCCCUGCUUAUUUUAAAGGAGUUUAUUCCAUAUGUUUCUGACCCUCUUUCCUUUAAGCCAUUUUAACUGCAUUGCAGGAAGCUGUCUGAUAUCUAGAGAAACUUCUGGGUCGUGAUUUCUUUUUCUCUCUGUAAGAGAAAACCAGAUGUCGCCUGGAGGGAACGCGGCUGAAGCAGGCUCCCGUGGGUGAGGUGGAUGGGGGACUUCACCCAUGUCUCCAUCCACCGCGGCUUCAGAAAGGACAAGAGAAGAGAAAAGAUUUUCAGAAAAAUCCUAAGAAAGCCAGAGUUACAGUAGAUGACAAAAGAUCUCACCUAUAUCGCGGGGGCAUGGGGAAAGCGUAAAACAGCCUGGAGUUGAACUCUCACUUGUCGAUCCCACGAGGGAUGUGAGACCCUUAUCCCCGACUGUCUUUAAGAAAACAAAUCAGGGAGUGGGGCAGGCUGGCGAGGGGGGAGAGACCAGCGAGCGGUUCUCAGACUGGCUGGUUGCGGGGUGUGGGGGACAGAAUGGGGCCCCUCAAAGGACGCCUCAACAUCCUCACCUCAGAACCUGCGAAUAUGACCCGAUGUGGGAAAAGGGUCUUUGCAGAUGCAGUUAAGUUCAGCA
rnacentral:lncRNA from 1 species